AGAUACUUAUCUAUGAAUUUUAAUUAAAAAUUAGACCCAGUUAUAUCACAUUGGUACAAAAAAAACUCACCACAGAGCUUAUAUAUAGGAGGUGUGCCUAUGUCAGAAGUUGGGAGGUCAGGAAAAGCUACGCAAAAGAAAUGUCUAGGUGAUUUUUAGGACAAGUAUGGGAGAGCCGAACAGUGUUCCAUACAAAGGGAACAGCAUGUGAGAAGACCCAGAGGCCUGGCACCCUGAGAACAGAAAUAGGUUCUGUGCCACUAGAGUUUGCAGGGUAGGUAACAGAAGACGAACUACAGAGAUGUGCAGGAAACAGAUGCGGAUUGGCAUUAGUUUACUCAGGCUGUUACAACAAAAUGCCAUACACUGACUGACUACAAACAGCAGAAAUUUGCUCUUCAGUUCUGGAGGAUGGGAAGCCAAGAUCAAGGACAGCUGGCAGCUUCUAUGUCUGGUGAGGGCACCGGUUUGAUAGAUGGUGAACUCUUUUAGGCCUAUUUUAUAAGGGCCUAUAAUCACCUUCUAAAAGGUCCCACUUUCUAAUGCCAUCACUAGGGGUUUAGGUUUUACAUAUAAAUUUUGGGAGAACAUAAACAUUCAUAUCAUAGCUAAGUGACAAGAUUGGUAUUUUAAGAUCACCCUGCCUUCAAUGUAGAGAAGGGAUUGAAGAGCAAGACAUGAGUGAGUGACACAUUAGGAAGCUACUACAAUCUCCUAAGUGAAAAAUAUCACUGUGGCCAAGACUGGGUCAGCUUUAGUGGAAAUGGAAAAUGAAUGAAAGGACAUUAAAAAGGCAGGAAGGACAGGACUUAGUGACUGGAUAGCAGAAGGAUGGAUAGAGGAAAGCUUUAAGAAUGUCUCAAGUUUCUCUCUGACAUGCGAAUGUAAAGCCGAGUUGGAUUUGGGACAGAAAGAUGUGUUCAACUUGGGUCACGUUGAAUGAGGUUCCCUUGGGACCUAAGUGGAGGUGUGAAUAUCUACUCAGCUGAGGUCUGGGCUGCAUGUGGCUGUGGGCCCUGAAGACUUGGAGGGAUGAGACAGCUCCAGGCACACCAAUUCUCAAGGGAUAUGAAAGGGAUUCGGCUGUAAAGAGGCUCCGAAGAAGCAGCCAGAGAGAUGGGAAGAAAAUCAGGGGUGCCUGCUAUCACGGGAACCGAAGGAAAGGAGUCGGCCUUCAGUGCUUGCACAUUCUGAUGCAGACAGAUCCCUCACACUUUCUCAGGGGCUGACCUCAUUUAAUCCUUUCAAAGACUGGUGAAAUGGGGGUCAUCACGAUGCAAUUUCAGAAGAGGAAACUAAAGACCACGGGGGGAAGGGGAGGCCAACUUUCCACAGUCAUCAGGGUCGUUGGCACACUUCAUUAGCCGUGUUUGAACCACUGACAAGCCGGGCACGUAGAAUUCUACCGUGCCCUCCAUUCACCUGUACCUUUGCCUAGCACUCUCCGACGGCUCACCUGCAACAUUUCUAGUGCUCACAAGAACCACGACAGUGUGACUUUUACCUCAAGUAAUAUACAAAGGAGGUGCCAGCAAACCAAGAGCAAGUGUGUGGACUGGUCCAACAUCACAUAUCCUAGCAGAUGGCUGGGGUGGGCACUUCGAUCUCCUGGUCCCCAGCCCUCGGCGGUGGCAGUACAGCAGGCGCGAAAGGAGGCGGUGUCUCGGGCGGGAACACCCCGAGGCGCCCCCCGCCCGGCGCUCGCCCCCGCGCAUGCCUGGCCGCUGAGGCGUGAGAGCCACCGCCCCGGGCCCUCCCUCCCGCGCGCCUUGCACAACCAGCCCAGAUAAGUGCUGCGUCUCUGGGCAAUUACCGCCUUCCGCCGCCGGGGCUGGCUGGGCAGAGGGCCAGAGGCCGAGGGACUCGCAACCACCCAAGGAGAGAGGUGCCCGCCGAGCCUUCAGCCACCACUGCGGAGCGCGAUUUCACAACACGGAGACGCGGGGCGGGGGCAGAGGGACGGCGCGGCGUUGUGACGUCACAAGCGACCGCGCCCCCAGGAAGCCCCAUCAGGCCCCGCGCCCCCGGGAGAAAGCGCCUGAAGGAUUGGAAUUCUUUUCUUCCAGAUCAACCCACAUGUAGUACCUGAAAAUCUCAAGACCUCAAAGAGAAGCUUUUGGAGACAGCACUUUUAGAAUCAAGUAGGGAAGUAGUUAUUGAGGGGCAACCUGUUACCCUCAUGUACAGACUGUCCAGGGGAUCAGUUUUGUUGCUGGAGCAGGCUUGGGGAUGGAGACGUACUCAAACCAUUUGUGUAGAGUGAUGAGAACAGGUGGAUGUAUGGAGACCUUACCAAAGUAGUUGCUUUUCCUGGUCACUGGGCAGUGACCAUCAUGUGGCCCUUGUGAACUUAAUGGAUGGUGACUGUGAGGUUGCUCUCAAAUUUUUCAUCCAGAGGCUCAGAGGAAUGGAGACUCACAAAGGCAGUCACUUUCCUGGGGCCCCAGCCUCUUGGAGAUAGGAUGACCAACUUAUCCAGAGGCGUCUUCAUCCCUGAGCCUUCUAAGAUACUUGGCUACAAAACACCAUGAAAAGGUUGCUCGUCCGCAGCCCUGGUCUCGUCUCUACCAUCCCCAGUUUCAUCUGCCCAAGCUGGGACAACCAAAUAUGUCCUCAGAAAUUGCCAAGUAUCUUCAAGGUCUUUCUGGUGAAUGGCCUGGAGCUUUGAGUUCAGUGAACUUUGACUGGUUGUCUUCAGAAGGCUCACCACCUGCCCUUCUGAAGCAGAUAGCCAAGAGGCCAAACUUUGCUACAGUUAAAAUAAGAAGAUUCAUUGCACAAUGAUGUUUGCAUGAAGUUAGGAAAAUACCAUGAAGAAUGAGCUUCAUUUCUGGUACAGCUGUUUCCAAGCGGGUGCUUGAAUGAGGGGGACGGUAAGGUAAAGAAGAUUGGUGCGGGAACCUGGAGGUUUGCGAACCAUCCUGACUGUGCCACUCACACUGUGUGAUAUUCCGAGGUGUUUGUUCUGCUUGUAGCCUCGGUUUUCUUCUCUGUAUAAUGAGAGUUUGAAUUACACAAGCUUCCCAAUCUUGUAGGCAAAUGCUUCGUCUGUCUUUACAGCCUCAUCUCCAACUCAGGACCUGGUUCAGCACUGGAAAUUAAGGCCCCAUGGAGGGAAGAUGGCAUUGACAAGAACUUUGGUAAUGUCAGAGUCUGAAGUUUCAAUUCCUAAAUGAUGAGUUUUCAGGUUAGAAGUUACGAUGUGUUGCAGGGAGAGACCCAAGCACCGCUGUCACGUUAGCCAGGCAUGGAUCCUGGUCCACCUUGGGAGCUGUGGCUGACCUUUGAAGAACUGAUGAACAAGAAUGCCUUUCUCGCUGCUCUUUUUCUUUUAAAUAAUUGCUGGAUGUGGCUAUGGCAAAAUUGGUUCCAAUGUCAGCUCUCAAAGCAUCUGGCACCUUACCUGGCACUUUCUGCUCUGCUUAAGGAAAACAGCCCUCCUGCCUGUUUCCAUCUCCCGAAGCCUGUGCGACCUCUACAGGAAGGUAUAUAUCGAGCCAAGUUCAUUAACUGAGCUGCAGAUCUCUUCACUACAGUUCAGAGGAAAAAAUGGAACUUGCCUUUGGAUGUUACCGUGGGGAUGAAGUUCUGCUCCGUGUGUAAGAUGCUCUGCAUAGCGCCUUGAUACACACCACAUGCUGCCUGUGGUGUUGUUUUGUGGAGGAAUGGCUGUCAGCACUUCUCAAGAGUGUACUAUUCCAUGAACAUAGUAGGGAUCCAUCUGCUGUUCUGAGCACUUCGUUACUUUGUUACCCAGACAUUGGAAGACUCCUGUGGACAUCUGCCCAACCUUUUCUAGUUGCUCUAAUCUUGGAGUCUUGGGACAUGAUGGGAACAGAGUUUCAGCACCAAGUACAAGUUCUGAAUACUCAGAUGAGCCCAAGAAGGGGCAGCGGGUAGGUGUGGCUCAGCAGAAGCACGUAAGGAGGGACUGAAGGAAGAGGCUAGAGAAGUGGGCUUGGGGGAGGCUGGGAUGGCCCUGGUGCCAGGAUAUGGGAUUUAGGCUUUGCCCCAGGGGCAACCAGGACUGUGCUAAGGGUCUCUGAACUUGACUGCUGGAUGGAAAGCGCUCAGACAGGCUGCUUUCUGCUCUACCUUGUCACCUCCAACUGGGCAUCCAGGGCCAGCCUCGAGGGUGACAGUGGGAGCAGCUUCCAAGGCUGGGAGGCAAGAGACACAAGUAAGAGUGUAACUCCCCACUUGGCACUGUGGGUCUGGGGGUGUUCCUUUCUUCUCCACGUCUGUCCCCACAUCUAUAAAAUAGGAGGAACCAUAUUGUUCAGUGGGCUAACCCGUAGGGCUGCAGUGAGGGUUUGGGGAGACAAAGUGUUUCAAAAGGACAUUAAGUUGAGACCCUGCUAUGGGCAAGGUCCUUCGCAUAGUCCUGGGGAAGACUCAGAUGAAUGCCACAAGAUCUUCGCCCUCGAGAGGCUUUAGUCUGCUGGUUAUACACACUGAGCUAAGCCCCUGAAAGAGCCCUUUCCUGCUAUGGGGGAUGAGGGGCUACAGAGGGGAAGGGGGCUUUCGGAAAGUUUCCCUGGAGGAGAUGAGGUCUCCGCUGAGUCCUGAGACACACUUAGGAGAUAGUGGAGGAAGAAGGAAGAAAUGGGUUUUUCAGGCAGAGGAAACAGCAUGAAUAAAGUCAUGGAGAAAUGAACUACCACAGUGUAUAUGGGCAAAUAAGUAAUAAGAGGUAUUAUUAGGAUACUGAAUGUAGGGUGUGGAAGAAAACUUAAUGGACAGUGUUGGUGGCAACAGUGGUUGCAUUUAAACAGAGAACAUAGUGUAAAGCUAAAGAAGCAAAGCUCUAACAAGGGAAUUUGGGAAUUAGCUGGUACAAAGGUUUUUUGUCUCCCCUGAAGUUAGGUCUCUUUGGUACCUAUGAUAGAUUAUGUUGGUGGCGCUGAGAAGAUUGCCAGUCCUGAACACCAAGCAGAGGGGUACCCUCUGUAGCCUGCACACUAAUGGAAGAAUUAGCCAUAAAAGCCAUAAAAGCCAGGGGAUUUAGAAUGGAAUCCUUGGCAUUCCCUGCAUGUGCAGGGCUGGCUAGGCAAGGAGGUUCCCAGGAGAAAACCAGGGAGACCUUUGCCCUCCUCCUGCACUUAGGUGAAAAGCAGAAUUAGAAUAGGGCUGACUGAGUGAUCCGGCUUUUGUGCUUGCACUUCAUGCCUCAGCAUUCAAUCUGCCAUAGUGCAGAAUGCUUAGAGCGUGCAGCUCAGGAGGCUGGCGGUGAGCCCCGGCCGCUGUCGAGGCUUUGGGGGAGCUACUGCGUGCAAACAAGCCUGUGCCAGGGCAUUGGUUCUGUUGUUACCGAGAGAAAGGGGCUUGGCUGUAGCUCUCCAGCUGGUAAUGAACACUGUGCAGUCGGCUACCAUUGGAGGGGGUCUGUCAGCCUGUUCCUCCAGGCCCCCUGGAGCCUCUGAGCUUGGCAACUGGUACCUGCUGUCAGGAGGCCCAGGGAGGAGAGAAGCAAGCGUGGAACUUGGGGUGGAGGGGCAGAGCCAGGACUUAACUCUGCCUUUAACUUAUACUACUGGGUAACCUAGGAUGAGUCCACUCACCUCUCUGAGCUUCAGUUUUCCAGAAAAUAUCCUGCCCUGUGUACCUUCAAGAGCAGAUAAGCAUUAAAUGGGAAAAUAUGUGUGGAAGGGCUUUGCAGUAAAAGAGGUAUCAUUAUCUUUAUUAAAAAGAGGCAGCAGAGAUCUGAUUCUAUACUGAGAAGACCCUGAAAACUCUACCAAAGGACUUUUUGAUGGUGUUAAACAAAUUCAACAAACAGAUACAGAACAAACAAAAACCAGAUUUCCUAUUCACUAAUAAUGAACUUUCUGAGAAGGAAAUCAGGAAACAAUUCCAUUCACAGUAUUUCCAUCUCCAAAGUUAAACAAACAAACACACAAUCAAACAAAUACCCAAAACAUUUCUAAAGGGACAUACUGAAAUACUUAUGGACAAACUAUAUGAUGUCUGAGUUCUGAUUCAAAAUGAGGAAAGCAUGAAAUGCGUGUAGGUAGGAGUGAGACAAGUUGGCCAGAUGUUGGUUGAUAAAACUGGGUGAUAGGUGCUUGAGGGUUCGUUACACAAUUCAGGUUCCUCUUUAUGUUUCCCCAGGUAAAAAGUUAAUUCAAAGAACAUGGGAUUAGGAUCAGACUAACCUGUCUUCACCGAUUUAUAUCUGUGUGAACUUCCAUCUCUCUGAACCUUUUUGCUUGCACUUUAAAUGGGCAUAUAAUAAUAGUACUGGUUCAUAGGCUCUCAUGAUGACCAUAUGUGAAAAUGGUCAUCCAUGCAUGGCAUGUAGCAGAUGCAUGGUGAAUCAUGAUCCAUCCGUUAGAGAGCUUCACCAAUUAUUUGUUACCUGAUGGGUGCACCUGGGUGCUCUGGGCCAGGGGCCAUCUCCUGGGGUGUGGGAAGAGGAGGCUGAUAAACUCCUAGGUUUUUCCACUGGUUGGUGGGCAACCAGCACAGUGGACUGUCCUUGUGGAGACGAAGGGAGCUAAUGUCAUGUUCCUGCCUGUCCUCCUUUCCAUCUGGGGAGACAAGAAGGGGUGCACAGAAUGCACUUGGACUGAGCAUCUUCUCGAUACCAACCACUGAGCUUUAUAGUUGCUAUGAGGUUAGAGCUUUCACUCAGGUUAAGAAACUCGAGAGUAGUUGUACAGCUAGUGGCUAAAGAGGAAGGAGGGAAGUAGGAAGUAACAGAGAGCAGAGUAAGAAUAUAUAGAGACAGGAAGCAAGUGACUCUGGAGGAGUGGAAGAGAGGUUGACAGGGCUGUGAGAGAAGAGGAAAAGGAGGAAUUAGGGGAUAAGAGCCCCCUGCCCUGGGCAUAGUGUGGGGAGAAGUGAGGACAGAAGCAGUCAGUCCUUUCUCCUUCCAUCCCUCCUAGGAGGCAGUUCUUUACCCCUUUAACCUCUGGCCAGGAAGGGUGAGAGAGAUGGGAAGACCAGCCCGAUUCCCUGUAGGUCAUCUUUUCCCAGCAAGGGGAGACCGGUCAGCACUGCGGGGCGGACAGCACCCUGGCCACGCCCUCGGCUGGUUGGCCAUUGCCUACAUUUCCUGGAUUUUAUUGCGCAGUGCUGGAUCUGAGCCCAAGCCACACUCCCAGCUGCAGUCCUUUAGGUGACCAUUCUUCACUGGCUUGGAACCUGACCUAAAGGGCUAGGGUGUGGCAUAUGGUCUCUCACCAGGCGGGCAUGACGUGUGGCAGGACACCUUUCAUCACCAGUCCUGGGCAGGUAGCCCAGGCUUCCAAAAAGUGUAAGAGAGGGCCCUUCCCACAACAGCCCAGGGCCUGGAGAGGUAAGGCAGAUGUGUAUGAAAUCCUUUGAGAGUAAUAGGAGGUGUGUGGAUUAACAUGGGUCAGCAAGCCAGGGAGACCUGUUCUUAAAGCCUCGUGGAGCCCCAGCCCUCCCACUCAUCAGUGUGUGACCCUGAGACAGUCUCUUUGCUGCUCUAAGCCUCCGUUCCCACAGCUGUAAAAUCUUGAGCCAUCUCCACUUCUUUACCUAUUUGCCCCACACGGCUCCCAGAAGCUCUUUGAACACUUGUAGGAUGACGGGUGUGAGCACUGCAUGCUGUGUCCAUGUGAGGGCUUAUUCUUGAGCACCAGUCUAUGUGAGGGCUUAUUCUUGAGCACCGUGUUUCUCUGCUGGGCUGUCACUUUUAUCCAGACAUGACACACGGAACCUCCACAUGAGGGCAGCCCUAGAUCUAUCUCCUCUAAGUUAUUGUUGAGCACUUUCUCUCUUGCCCUGUCCAGGGUCCAUUGUGUGAGACAUACUUGCUCAGCUAUUCUCAGAACAUAACAUGGAAGAAAGAUGAGUGUCUCUUGAAAAACAUCAUUAGCUUCCUUUCAGCAAGAAAAUGAAAAUUAUGUAAUCCACCCUUACUGUCUUUUUGCCUCAGCUGUCAGGAAGCUCAGAGUAAAACGUAAGCUCAAUGAUAACAAUAGAGGUGGUUAUUAUAUCAUUUUCUUCCUCUGCUUUCUACCUGACUUUAAUGUCUCUGCAUUCUUAGAAUAUACUAUUUGCAAAGCUGAUCCAAGGAAAAGAACUGUGUGAAUGGGCCCGAGACAGUCCACUGAGGUCAUCAAGAGCAUUCCUGAUGAAGAUGUGGGAUACCCCUUACAUUCGGUAUUCAUUUCUUGUGGACUAUGUAGUAGCUUACAACUACAGAAAUUUAUUCUCAUGGUCCUGGAGGCUACAAAUCCCAAACUGAGGCACUAGCACUUCCGCUGGAAGCCUCAGGGCAGAAUCCAUUUCUUGCUUCUUCCAUAUCUUGGUGACUGCCAGCAUUCCUUUGCUUGUGCCUACAUCACUGCAAUCUCUGCCUCUGUCUUCACAUCCCCUUCUCAUCUGUUUGUUAUUUUCUCUUCUGCAUCAAAACUUCCCCUGCUGUUUUUGUAAAAGAUUCAUGUGAUUGUGUGUAGGGCCUGAAAUAGGGAUUUAAAAGCUGGUUUUGCUUAAAAACACUGACUUUCCCCUUGGGCCUUGUUAUGGCUUGUAUCUAGAUGUUCCACUAAAGCCUCAUACACUCAUAGGUGACGUUAAUAGAGAUUUUCAGAGGUGGCUGGAUUUAGGGUGUGUGUAUAUGGAUUAAGGGAGUGUGAUAACUAAAUUAGUCUACUGAUCGGUUUAGCAAAGUUCUGGAUAUGGAUAACGGGAAGGCUCACCCUGGGUGUGGGUGGCACCAACCAAUAGGUUGUAACCUGAGUGGAAUAAAAGGAAAGGGAGGCUGGCU